GGAAAUGUGGCUUAGUGGUAAGUAGAGUGCUUGCCUAUCAUGCAAGAAGCCCUGGGUUCAAUUCCUCAGUACCA
rnacentral:tRNA from 1 species